rnacentral:rRNA from 1 species
CAGCCGUAAACUAUGCGCGUUAGGUGUACUGGUGACCACGAGUUACCGAGGUGCCGAAGGGAAACCGUGAAACGUGCCGCCUGGGAAGUACGGUCGCAAGGCUGAAACUUAAAGGAAUUGGCGGGGGAGCACCACAACAGGUGGAGCCUGCGGUUUAAUUGGACUCAACGCCGGGAAGCUCACCGGAUAGGACAGCAGAAUGAUUGCCGGGCUGAAGACCCUGCAUGACUAGCUGAGAGGUGGUGCAUGGCGUCAGUGACU